GCCCGCUUAGCUCAGUGG
rnacentral:misc_RNA from 1 species